CUCCUACGGGGGGCAGCAGUGGGGAAUAUUGCACAAUGGGGGGAACCCUGAUGCAGCGACGCCGCGUGAGUGAAGAAGUAUUUCGGUACGUAAAGCUCUAUCAGCAGGGAAGAAAAAAGGACGGUACCUGAGUAAGAAGCCCCGGCUAACUACGUGCCAGCAGCCGCGGUAAUACGUAGGUGGCAAGCGUUGUCCGGAUUUACUGGGUGUAAAGGGCGUGUAGCCGGGCUGACAAGUCAGAUGUGAAAUCCGGGGGCUCAACCCCCGAACUGCAUUUGAAACUGUUGGUCUUGAGUAUCGGAGAG
rnacentral:rRNA from 1 species